UAUAUAUACUGCUAAUUUCAAGGGGCGCCGUCCAACAUGGAUCUAAUAGGAUCUUUGAGAGAGCAGGCGGUGGAAAACCAAAAGCGGUUCCCCCCCUACGUCUUGCUAGUCAUGUUGCCUUUACCAAGGAUGGCUGUGUCUUACAACAGCCGAUCCCGGGAACAAGCUAAUAACUACCAAUUAUAAACCGAUUAUAAAUGAGUAUAAAAGUACAUAG